rnacentral:rRNA from 1 species
UACGUAGGCAGCAAGCGUUGUUCGGAGUUACUGGGCGUAAAGAGUGUGUAGGCGGUUCUCUAAGUUCGGUGUGAAAUCUCCCGGCUCAACUGGGAGGGUGCGCCGAAAACUGGAAGGCUAGAGUACUGGAUGGGUAAGUGGAAUUCCUGGUGUAGCGGUGAAAUGCGUAGAUAUCAGGAGGAACACCUGUGGUGUAGACGGCUUACUGGACAGUAACUGACGCUGAGACACGAAAGCGUGGGUAGCAAACAGG